AUUGAACGCUGGCGGCAGGCCUAACACAUGCAAGUCGAGCGGAGCGGGGGACGGGGGAGUAUGGCCAAGGACUCGGCCUGGUCGUGGGGGAUAACGACCGGUAACGGGAACUAAUGCCGCAACCUAUUGGAUGAGCCUAGGUCGGGUUAGCUAGUUGGAGGGGUAAAGGCCAACCAAGGCGACGAUCCGUAACUGGUCUGAGAGGAUGAACAGUCACACUGGAACUGAGACACGGUCCAGACUCCUACGGGAGGCAGCAGUGGGGAAUAUGGGACAAUGGGCGAAAGCCUGAUGCAGCCAUGCCGCGUGUGUGAAGAAGGUCUUCGGAUUGUAAAGCACUUUAAGUUGGGAGGCGUUACCAACAGAAUAAGCACCGGCUAACUCCGUGCCAGCCGCCGCGGUAAUAC
rnacentral:rRNA from 1 species